UGAACCAGCCAAAUCGCGUGAAGGAAGAAGGUAUUAUGUAUCGUAAACUUCUUUUGUCAGGGAAUAAAGUGCACCACGCGUGGUGUUUUGUAUGUACCUGAAGAAUAAGGAUCGGCUAACUCCGUGCCAGCAGCCGCGGUAAUACGGAGGAUCCGAGCGUUAUCCGGAUUUAUUGGGUUUAAAGGGUGCGUAGGCGGGCUCAUAAGUCAGCGGUGAAAGUUCGUGGCUCAACCACGAAACUGCCGUUGAAACUGUGAGUCUUGAGUGUAGAUGAGGUGGGUGGAAUUCGUGGUGUAGCGGUGAAAUGCAUAGAUAUCACGAAGAACACCAAUUGCGUAGGCAGCUCACUGGGCUACAACUGACGCUGAGGCACGAAGGUGCGGGGAUCAAACAGGAUUAGAUACCCUGGUAGUCCGCACAGUAAACGAUGAAUACUAGCUGUUUGCGAUAUACUGCAAGUGGCACAGCGAAAGCGUUAAGUA
rnacentral:rRNA from 1 species